GACGAACGCUGGCGGCGUGCUUAACACAUGCAAGUCGAACGGAAAGGCCCUGCUUUUGUGGGGUGCUCGAGUGGCGAACGGGUGAGUAACACGUGAGUAACCUGCCCUUGACUUUGGGAUAACUUCAGGAAACUGGGGCUAAUACCGGAUAGGAGCUCCUGCUGCAUGGUGGGGGUUGGAAAGUUUCGGCGGUUGGGGAUGGACUCGCGGCUUAUCAGCUUGUUGGUGGGGUAGUGGCUUACCUAGGCUUUGACGGGUAGCCGGCCUGAGAGGGUGACCGGCCACAUUGGGACUGAGAUACGGCCCAGACUCCUACGGGAGGCAGCAGUGGGGAAUAUUGCACAAUGGGCGGAAGCCUGAUGCAGCAACGCCGCGUGCGGGAUGACGGCCUUCGGGUUGUAAACCGCUUUCGCCUGCGACGAAGCGUGAGUGACGGUAAUGGGUAAAGAAGCACCGGCUAACUACGUG
rnacentral:rRNA from 1 species